rnacentral:tRNA from 4 species
GCGGAUGUGGCGGAAUGGCAGACGCAGCAGACUCAAAAUCUGCCGCCCAUAAAGCGUGCGGGUUCAAGUCCCGCCAUCCGCA